rnacentral:rRNA from 1 species
UACGGAGGGAGCUAGCGUUGUUCGGAAUUACUGGGCGUAAAGCGCGCGUAGGCGGCUUUGUAAGUUAGAGGUGAAAGCCCGGGGCUCAACCCCGGAACUGCCUUUAAGACUGCAUCGCUUGAAUCCGGGAGAGGUGAGUGGAAUUCCGAGUGUAGAGGUGAAAUUCGUAGAUAUUCGGAAGAACACCAGUGGCGAAGGCGGCUCACUGGACCGGUAUUGACGCUGAGGCGCGAAAGCGUGGGGAGCAAACAGG